GCAACAAGAUUAACAAGAAAUAAAGAUAUAGUGAUGGUUGGAGCUACUUCAAUAUCUAUAUCAAAUCAUAUUACUUCUCCUAUAAUAGAAUAUCCUUCAAGUGUAAGAGAAACAAAAAUUAUCAUACGUGAGAAGUUUAAUGGCAUAAGAUUAAAAUUUUCAAGUACAACUAGUGAUUGAACUUCAAUUCUAAAGCUAUUCAAUUCUAGCAUGACAAGUUAGGUUUA
rnacentral:lncRNA from 1 species